UCGUUAGUUAUUGUUUUUCGUAGUUUGCGUCUUUUGUUUUUUGUGUCACUAAGUGUUUUGCAGGAAUUCAUCACCUUCACGCAGGCGAAAUCAACAAAGAAAUGGCGUUUCAUGUAAGUUUUCCUGUUCAGAAAGAAAGUUUGAAAAGGUUUGGGAAUCAUUGAGAAAAGUUUUUAAGGUUUAAAAUCUGCAGAUACAACAAUUUGUCUGUGAACUGGUGCUUCUCACGGGGCACGAGAGACAUAGGGUCUCCUUUCGCGGCCCGCCAAAACAUAAAACAAUCCGGACACUUUUACUCGGUCGUGGGGUUCUCCUUUCGCGGCCCUCGAGAGCGUUACGAAACACAUCUGCAGUGUUUACUUCCCAACUUAACCACUUUUUGACCUAAUCCCUUUCCUUCUUCACCGUCGGCGACCCAUGAAAAACCCACAAAUCACCACCGAAAGCCACCGUAAACCACCACAACUCACUUAAAAUCAUCAUACACAACCGUCGUUCAAUCAGUAAUCAGCCAUCUUAACAUCUUCUUUCAUCCAUUUUCACAAGAUUAAGUGUGGGAUUUCAAGUGUUUGCCAUUUUCUUCAUAAAAUUUCUGCUUAACUCGACAAAAAGGAUGUCAGGCGAAGGUUCGUCUUCUGUGCUGGCGGUAGAAAAAGAAGCCCGAGUACACGUUUGAGGGAUACGGGUGAAACUCAGCCUGUACCACCCGAUUCUAGAACACGGCAGAUUCAGUAUAGAUCGGAGGGUGUUCCGCAUGGGCAGAGUAUGCGGCUGCAAGACAGCCCGAUGUUACAGUUUACUGUGGGUCGAACGAGUAUGCUAGGUUGCAGGGGUUGAUUUCGGUAGGUCUGCUACCAUACCGUCGGAUUGAUUGGGAAAUGGUAGGCCAUCUGGGCCAGCGAGAGAGGAUUGAGCAGUUGCUGGGGGAGAAGUUCAGUUUGCUUUUAGAUUGUGACGCUCCUCAGUAUAAGGAGCUUACCUUAGAGUUCCACUCGACGUUUGAAUACAGGUAUCAGGGGGUUUUGAGGAAAAGGAUACGGUCUCGUUUGCGUUGGGUAGGAAAGUGUAUGAGAUGACGAUACCACAGUUUGCAGUGGCGCCAAUUUACCGAUUCAUACAUAAGAUUUUGGCAGCGACACUAGUAGGUAGACAUCAGGGGGAUAAUAAGGUUAAUCAACAAAGUUUGUUUUGUCUGAUGUGUAUGAUUGAGGGGUGGCCAGCAAAUCUGGCGAGUGUGUUUGCUUGGUCCAUGAAUAGGCCAUGGAGAGGAGGACCGGAGGCCCGGAUGUAUUGCGGGCCAUAUGUUACGUGGUUAGCGGAGAGCCUCGGGGUGUUUACUACUUACCCGCGAGAGAGGAUGAGAGAGGGCCCGGUUCCGUGCUUGAUGAGUUUGAAGGAUCUUCAGUCUGCGGGCAUCAUUACUUAUGAUCAGCCGCCUACUUGGUCAGAGAUGAGACAGGGUCCACAGGUGCCGCCACCACCAGGGUCUGGUGCAGUUGCUUCUAUGUAGGUUGCGAUACCACCUCGUUAUCAGGUGCCGCUUACUCGUUAUGAUCUACCACGAUGUCAGUAUCCGCUAAGAGAGCCUCGCCCAGACCCAUUGACUUUGGAUUCUCUGUACGAUAGGGUAGAGAAUUUACAUGGGUACGUGGACGAGCAGUUUGUCGGUAUGAGGCAGGUGAUGGAGGAUAGUAGAUUAUCACAUGAGUAGGGCAUGAGGUGUAUUGAGGAUGGCAUGCGGGUUAUUAUGGAAGGUCUUCGUUUAGGAGUCCCAUCGUCUUGGCAGCCACAACAGUAGGCUGGACCCAGUGGUAUGGAGGGGGUUCAGCAAUCUCAUGUUAAGCAGGGAUCCGAUGAAGAGGAGGAGUAGGUUGAUGAUACAGCAGCAGUUCGAGAUUGAUAUCUUUUGUUUUCUUUUUAUGUUGUUUUCAUCUAUUUUGGUAUGUAUGAUAUUUUAAAUACUUUGACAGGUGGUUGGGAUGGGUUGGUACUUGGUAGUAUGUUUUGGAUGAUUUGUGAA